GAUGAACGCUGACAGAAUGCUUAACACAUGCAAGUCAACCGUGGCUGACGGGUGAAUAACCCGCAAAGACCUUGCCUCUCUGUUAGGUUCUACAUUUUGAAACGAAUUCUAAUACCUGAUCCUUUGAGAGAGCUUUGCGUCCCAUUAGCUAGUUGGAGCGGUAACGGCUCACCAAGGCGCUGAUGGGUAGCCGGCCUGAGACGGUGAUCGGCCACAAGGGGACUGAGACACGGCCCUUACUCCAACGGGAGGCAUUAGUGGGAAAUAUUGGAAUAUGUGCCAAAGUAUGAUCCAGGAAUUAGGUGUGCACGAUAAAUUUUUCGGGAUGUAAAGUGCAUUCAGUUGGGAAGCAUUACCAACAGAAGAAGUGACGGCUAAAUACGUGCCAGCAGCCGCGGUAAUAC
rnacentral:rRNA from 1 species